ACGUAUGUGGCGAGCGUUGUUCGGAAUUACUGGGCAUAAAGAGUUCGUAGGCGGGUUGAUUAGUUGGGUGUGAAAUCCCGGGGCUUACCCCCGGAACUGCACUCAAUACUGUCAACCUGGAGUCCUUCAGGGGUAAGUGGAAUUCCAUGUGUAGCGGUGAAAUGCGUAGAUAUAUGGGAGAACGCCAAUGGCGAAGGCAGCUUACUGGGGAGUGACUGACGCUGAGGAACGAAAGCUAGGGGAUCAAACGGG
rnacentral:rRNA from 1 species